UUUGCAUCAUGCUUCAGUGCAGUGUUUCGAAACCAGUUAUCCCUACCUGCACAAUCUUCCAUGAAAUGGGAGCCAGGAAUACCAGGAUGACUUGCUAUACUGUGGUCUUUUUAUUACCAUUUCAGGAGGCCAGGACAGAGGAUUUGGGAAUGGACACAACUGAAUCUGUGCUGUCUUUGAUGCUGCAACACCACAUGGUUUCACAUGCCUCGGUUUCCCCAGAAGAGAAAGACAGACUGCUGUGAGAGACAGACACAGGAAGAGAGAGAAAGGAGGACACUGGAAGGGGAGAAGCAGAGACAAUGCCAAACUGUGAGUUGAAUUUUUAUAAAAUACAGAUAUAACAUCUCUAAAUGGAGAUUGGUCAUAAUUUUUUCCACAGGUUGGCUAAAAGGUAAGACAAACUAAUUAUACAAAUUCUAUCAAGCAAUAUUUAAAGAACAGACAGUGAUUGGAAAUCACUGAAUGAGCAGCACCGUAAAUCAUUAUUCGUAAUUCCAGAGGCAAUCAAGACACAAAAGUAAAAAUGGC
rnacentral:lncRNA from 1 species